AGGAGGUACAGAGGCCGGAAGUAAGUCUGGUUGUACGCUUGCUCCUGACUAGACAAAGCUUUCCUUUGUCUACAACUGGACUUCUUCUGCUCCACCCCUGGGAAUGCUUAGUCUAUUUUAUGGAAUCAAGAGUUGCCCAAUUCCAGAAUUGAAAAUGAAGUCAGCUGAGGUCAUUAAGCUGAAUUGUUGCAAUUUGGGCCUUUGACACAAGGAACUAGGAGGCUCAGAAUGCAGCCGUCUUCAAUCAAGGUUCUGUGACUAUUUAGCAAACUGUGACCAACAACAACCAAUAACAACCAACCAACAACCAACCACCGACCACCCUACUACCCUCUCAGGGCCCUUUUUUAAUAUAUCCUCUGAAAAGUUUCCGGAAUUCCAAACAUCACACAAUCACAAAAGCUCUCUGCAAGUGUCAAAGUCGCGUUUCCACCAGAGCUUGAGGAAAAUCACAGUCAGCUGCUUCGUACAAGCUGAGGCAGCCCCACACCCCACACCUAGAAAUAAAAUGAAAACACACUCCUUUCUGUGCUUUUUAAAAGAAAUCAAAAUUAUCGCUACAAAGUGAUGCCUUAGUUUGCUUUCUAUUGCUGUGAAAAAUAUCAUGCCCAAAAAAACAAAACAAAAACAAACAAAAACAAAUCAAAACAAAAAAUGAAAAACAAACAAAAAAACCCAAUAAAACAAAACAAAAAACAGACCAGCGUGGAGAAGAGAGUUUAUUUAGCUUACUCUUCCAGGGCACAGUCCAUCUUUGAGGGUAGGGCAAGGAAUCUGGAGACAUGAAUUGAAGCGGAGAGCAUGGAGAAACCCUACUUACUGGCUAGCUCUACCUGGCCCCUCAGCUCAGUUUCUUACAUAAGUCAGGACUACCUGACAGGGAGGCACUGCCUGGACAUCCUGGAGUAUCCCACACCAAUGACUGAUCAAGAGGACGCCCCACAGACUUCCCUACAGGUGAAUGUGAUGCAGGCAUUUUCUCAUUUGAGGCUCCCUCCUUCCAGAUGACUCUGUG